AGGAAGGUAGUCCAGCCCAGGCGAUGGUUGUCCUGGGGUAAGCAUGUAGGGCGUGUCGUAGGUAAAUCCGCGGCAUUUAAGCCUGAGAUGUGAUGCCGAGCCGAUUGUGGUGAAGUGGAUGAUCCUAUGCUGCCGAGAAAAGCCUCUAGUGAGUGUUGUGGCGGCCCGUACCCUAAACCGACUCAGGUGGUCAGGUAGAGAAUACCAAGGCGAUCGGGUGAACUGUGGUUAAGGAACUCGGCAAAUUGCCCCCGUAACUUCGGGAGAAGGGGGACCUCUGUUGGUGAUGGGCUUUACGCCUGGAGCUGGUGGGGGUCGCAGUGGCCAGGGGGAAGCGACUGUUUACUAAAAACACAGGUCCGUGCGAAGUCGUAAGACGAUGUAUACGGACUGACGCCUGCCCGGUGCCGGAACGUUAAGGGGACCGCUUAGCUGACGUGAGUUGGCGAAGGUGAGAACUUAAGCGCCGGUAAACGGCGGUGGUAACUAUAACCAUCCUAAGGUAGCGAAAUUCCUUGUCGGGUAAGUUCCGACCUGCACGAAUGGCGUAACGACUUCCCCGCUGUCUCAACCGCAGACCCGGCGAAAUUGCACUACGAGUAAAGAUGCUCGUUUCGCGCAGCAGGACGGAAAGACCCCGGGACCUUCACUACAGCUUGACAUUGGCGUUUGGAACGUCUUGUGUAGGAUAGGUGGGAGACUGGGAAGCUGUCACGCUAGUGAUGGUGGAGUCAUUGGUGAAAUACCACUCUGGUCGUUUUGAACGUCUAACUCUGGUCCGUGAUCCGGAUCGGGGACAGUGUCUGGUGGGUAGUUUAACUGGGGCGGUUGCCUCCUAAAGAGUAACGGAGGCGCCCAAAGGUUCCCUCAGCCUGGUUGGCAAUCAGGUGUUGAGUGUAAGUGCACAAGGGAGCUUGUCUGUGAGACUGACAGGUCGAGCAGGAGCGAAAGCUGGGACUAGUGAUCCGGCAUCGGCGUGUGGAAGCGGUGUCGCUCAACGGCUAAAAGGUACCCCGGGGAUAACUGGCUGAUCUUCCCCAAGAGUCCAUAUCGACGGGAUGGUUUGGCACCUCGAUGUCGGCUCGUCGCAUCCUGGGGCUGGAGUAGGUCCCAAGGUUGGGCUGUUCGCCCAUUAAAGCGGUACGCGAGCUGGGUUUAGAACGUCGCGAGACAGUUCGGUCCCUAUCCGCUGCGCGCGCAGGAGACUUGAAGGGGGCUGUCCCUAGUACGAGAGGACCGGGACGGACGAACCUCUGGUGUGCCAGUUGUACCGCCAGGUGCACGGCUGGUUGGCUACGUUCGGAAGGGAUAACCGCUGAAAGCAUCUAAGCGGGAAGCUCGCCUUGAGAUGAGGUCUCCCACCACGAGAGUGGGUAAGGCUCCCGGUAGACGACCGGGUUGAUAGGCCGGAGGUGGAAGCACGGUAACGUGUGGAGCUGACCGGUACUAAUAGGCCGAGGACUUGAUC
rnacentral:rRNA from 1 species